AGUGAACGCUGGCGGUAGGCCUAACACAUGCAAGUCGAACGGCAGCACAGUAAGAGCUUGCUCUUACGGGUGGCGAGUGGCGGACGGGUGAGGAAUACAUCGGAAUCUACUUUUUCGUGGGGGAUAACGUAGGGAAACUUACGCUAAUACCGCAUACGACUACGGGUGAAAGCAGGGGAUCUUCGGACCUUGCGCGAUUGAAUGAGCCGAUGUCGGAUUAGCUAGUUGGCGGGGUAAAGGCCCACCAAGGCGACGAGCCGUAGCUGGUCUGAGAGGAUGAUCAGCCACACUGGAACUGAGACACGGUCCAGACUCCUACGGGAGGCAGCAGUGGGGAAUAUUGGACAAUGGGCGCAAGCCUGAUCCAGCCAUACCGCGUGGGUGAAGAAGGCCUUCGGGUUGUAAAGCCCUUUUGUUGGGAAAGAAAAGCAGCAGGUUAAUACCCCGCUGUUCUGACGGUACCCAAAGAAUAAGCACCGGCUAACUUCGUG
rnacentral:rRNA from 1 species